rnacentral:misc_RNA from 1 species
ACGAAUGGCUUUUGGCCUUCGACUUUGUAAACCAGUGGAGCGAAGAUUGUGCUUUGGUGCCUUAGGUGCCAGGUUUAUGCCGUAAAGUGUUUGUCUGAAUCGAAACAAAAUUUUA